UCAAUUGCCAGAUUCUACUUCAACUAGCAACGUUAUUUAAAUACUAUCGUUAAUUAAAUACUAUCUAUCGGCCGCCACAUUUAUUUACAAUCGACAUUUUUACGUUCUGCAAACGUUUGUUGUUGCUGCUUUAAAUUUGUGCUUUCUACCGCUCCGCGCCUGUUGUGUGUGUUCGAUGUGUUGUACGCUGCCCAUAGACCAUGUCUGCGUCUAUGCUGUAGUGCUUUUGAAGGCUCGUUCCUGCCGGCCUGUCACCUUUGCAGCUCUCCUUGAGUGGAACCAUUGACUACGUACUUCUGCGAAGGCGGUGCUCUUCCAGUUGGGGACCUUGGGGCAGCUGGAGACUAGAGACUGCCUUAACUGUAGCUCAGCCCUUACAAACCGCUUAGGCGGUUAAAUAGCAGCAAAUUGACGCACCCGACGCGGCUAAUCUCGGUCCCAAAUAGCAAUAGUUAAAUUCUUAAUGCCGACUUCUUAGUACCCUGCCGCGAGUUCCCUUUCCGUUUCCGGUCAGUAAGCAGAAGCAAACGCCAAAGGCAUUCGGUUUUAUGGUUGUGCUGUGCCCCUCUCCGUUGCGACCUUUUUGGCAGCAAAGAAAAAGUGCUGCGAAUUUAGUUUAAGUAGUUGCCAUGCAGCUUGUAAGCACUUCCUGCGGCAAGGCAUCGCGUAUUUGCAGCAUGCAGGACAUAAGUGAAGAAGAAGAGAGAUGAGAUGCUGAGCCGAAAAGCAUAUGAUUUCUCUUGACACAGAUAAUUGAAAUACAAAGCAAGUAAGAGGCUCGCAAAUCAUUUGCCUGAGUUAAUAUUUCUGGUUUCUGUGAAAAUAUUAUAAGUAAAUAUACUCAAGAGAUUGCCGUUUGUAUGGUAUAUGGUCUAAUGGUAUAUGUUUUCGGACUGCAACUGUAUGUAACAUUAAUAGGUGCUCGAAUUGUGCGUAUGAUAAUUGGGACGAAAAUUCUCCUUAUUUUUUUAAUCCGAUUUGUAAGAAAGCAGCAAUUAAAUAAGCUAAAUAAUAUAUGUAUUUUACCCUUUCAGACUGCUUCGGGUCAGCAGCUCCUAAUAAAACCAUGUUCAUAUUGAAUACUGAGGGGUCAAACUAACAGACUCAUUGAGUAGUAAAUAUACAGAUCUGUUUAUUACUCAAUGUAACAGAGUGUUAAAUUAUGAGCGACUCAUCUGAACGAAAAAACCGGCGCACAGAAAAUAAGCAAGCGAUCAAAAUACGAGUGAGAAUGAUGCGGCACAUGGCUUAUCAUACACACACACGCACACACACCCACAUCCACACAAACACGUGUACGCGCAGAGAUGAGCCAAGAGAACGCCAGAGAUAAGCAGUCAGCUGUUCGUGUGUGUGUUCGCUGUCAAUUUUCUGCUUACGCUCACGCACUCACGAUUCAAUUUGGUGCUGAUCGCUGAUUGGUCCAAUCAAUAGCCGCGAAGGCAGUGAAGCGCUCGUCUGUUCGUGAGAGUGCUCAUCUUUUUGAGCGCCGUCUUAUGGAUCCGCGCAACUUUAUUCUGAGUCAGUGUGGCCCUGUUAAUCAACAGGGCAUGAUCUUGCGAGCUGCGAGUGAUAGUCUAUUAAGCCUAUUAUUAUUUUGUUAUAGCUUUUUGUGCAUGUGCUGAUGUUUAAGUAGAUAAGGCGAUUCUCUAUGGAUAUGUACAUAUGCUUGGCUUAUCUGUCAUGGACAACAAAACAUUCACCUAUGUUGGCACCUGCAUGAGCUUGGAUAUUUUAUGCCAUGGAUAUACCUUAAACAAAAUCAGAUCUUAAUUAUGACCAAAAUUAACUCGUUGCCAAUCUGCGCCGAUUCUCAAAUCAACAUUUUGAAUUGAAUUCUGUCGAUUUGAAGACUCACGAAUCCUUAAGAGUAACAUAUGUAUAUCCAACGUCUGACCCAAAUCUGCCAACGUUCAUGGAAAACAUCGUCAACAUCAACAACAUCAACAAAUAUCGUUUUUUCUUCGGUGGAGUUAUGUAUCUUUCAAAUAAAACAAAAGCAAUAUUUCUGAACGGCGGACCUGCGCCGCCAGCUGUAUCAGCCAACUCUGCCACACCCAUGGACAACAUUUAAUCAGCAAAUGAUCGCUAUUUAUGGUACCUAGUUGACCUACAUGUCCUUGGUUAUUUCACAUCAUGGAUAUAGUCCUAGCGAACCUAAUGGAUGAAGUUCUUGCAAAAUGCGUGGGAACAGGCUCCAAAAUAUGUAUGAUUUUCUUUAACAGCCGCCCCCAUAAACAGUUCCGCCCCCUAAAUGGUUUCUAGUUGACUAGAAUAUCCUUGGUUAUACCAUACCAUCGAUAUAGUCCUUAGAAACCUUAAAGAUCAGAUCCCUGCAAAAUGUGCAUUAUAAUGGUCCAAAAACAUGUAUGCUUUUUCUUUCAGGAGCCCUU